AGUGAACGCUGGCGGUAGGCCUAACACAUGCAAGUCGAACGGCAGCACAGUACUAGCUUGCUCUUACGGGUGGCGAGUGGCGGACGGGUGAGGAAUACAUCGGAAUCUACUUUUUCGGGGAGGAUAACGUAGGGAAACUUACGCUAAUACCGCAUACGACCUACCGUUGAAAGCAGGGGAUCUUCGGACCUUGCGCGAUUGAACGAGCCGAUGUCGGAUUAGCUAGUUGGCGGGGUAAAGGCCCACCAAGGCGACGAUCCGUAGCUGGUCUGAGAGGAUGAUCAGCCACACUGGAACUGAGACACGGUCCAGACUCAUACGGGAGGCAGCAGUGGGGAAUAUUGGACAAUGGGCGCAAGCCUGAUCCAGCAAUACCGAGUGGGUGAAGAAGGCCGUCGGGUUGUAAAGCCCUUUUGUUGGGAAAGAAAAGCAGCAGGUUAAUACCCCGCUGUUCUGACGGUACCCAAAGAAUAAGCAACGGCUAACUUCGUG
rnacentral:rRNA from 1 species